UAGGGUGUUUUACAAGUUUUUCUUAAAGAGGUAAUUAAAGUGGUAAAGGUAAGGGAUAUGUAAGCCUGAUAACAGUAGGGGGUUAGAAUGUUUGAUUUUGGCUUAGAUUUUUUUACAGUAUUGUUAAAAUUGCAUGAAAGUUAUAGCAAGAAAAGACCAUUCGGUUUUAUACAGAAGGGGGUAGUUGGUAAAUUAUAAUAAAAUGAUAAAGGUUAUAUUCUCAGCAUAAAAUAUUAAGCAAGUACAUGAAAAUGUGACUUAGUAACAAUAAGCGUAUAGGUCUGAUAAACAUUUGUGCCAGCAUUCGCGGUUAUACUUUGAGAUCGAGUAAAAUGAGUUAGUAAGUAGUUAGACGAAAGUAAUUAAAUAAGUUUAUUUUUAAUAAAGGGUAAAAUUAGGUUGUUAUGAUGUAAAACAAGAAAUUAUAGUCGAAGCUAGAAAAGUUUAGUUAAAAACUAGGAUUAGAUACCCUAUUAUUCUAAAUUGAAAUAUUAAAUUACUAAAUUAGUAAUAGUUAGUUACUUAAAAGUUAAAAAAUUUGGCGGUGAUUCAAUCCUUCCAGAGGAACUUGUUUCUUAAUCGAUAAUCCACGCAGAAUCUUACUUAUUUUUGUUAAAUAUCAGUUUGUAUACCAUCAUUAUCAGGUAAUUCUUAAAGGAAGAAUUACUAGACAAGAAUUAAUUAUAAAAAUUAGAUCAUGGUGCAGCGUAUGAAUAAGUUGAAAUGAGUUACAAUAAGUCUUUUUACACGAAACCUUGAGAGAACUCUCAUAGUGAAGGGGGAUUUGGUUGUAUUGUUAAUUUAAUAAGUUUACGAGACAUUGGUUCUGAGUCAUGUACAUAUCGCCCGUCGCUUUCGUUUAUAACGAAAUAAGUCGUAACAUAGUAGGUGUACCGGAAGGUGUACCUAGAAUUAA
rnacentral:rRNA from 1 species